rnacentral:rRNA from 1 species
AAUGAACGUUGGCGGCAUGGAUUAGGCAUGCAAGUCGAGCGAGAAGGGUUUUGAAGCUUGCUUUAGAACCCGGAAAGCGGCGCAAGGGAGAGUAACGAGUAGUUAUCUACCCCAAGGCCCGGAAUAGCUGCGGGAAACUGCAGGUAAUGCCGGAUAAUAUCCCCGGAUCAAAGGUGUGAUUCCGCCUUGGGAGGAGACUGCUUUGUACUAGCUAGUUGGUAGGGUAAUGGCCUACCAAGGCUACGAUGCAUAGCGGGCGUGAGAGCGUGGCCCGUCUCACUAGGACUGAAACACUGCCCAGACACCUACGGGUGGCUGCAGUCGAGAAUCUUCGGCAAUGGGCGAAAGCCUGACCGAGCGAUGCCGCGUGCGGGAUGAAGGCCCUCGGGUUGUAAACCGCUGUCGUAGAGGAGAAAGGUCUGAUGAAGAAUCAGAUUUGAUCUAUUCUAGGAGGAAGUCGGGGCUAAGUUCGUGCCAGCAGCCGCCGUAAAAC